UAUAGGACGGUUGGGAGGUGGAGUUGGCCGCUUGAGCCUGCGCACACAGCCCGCCGCAGCGGCUCCCCACGGCGCCAAAGAGCAGGGGAGCGCCUCCCCUUGCAGAAGAAAGUAGGAGAGCAAGCUUGAGGCAGAGUACUGAGGAAGCGCCGUUGCCCUACUUCCGCCGUUUCCCUGUAUCGCAAAGAAACUUCCGGGGGUGGUGAAACAUCCGCCGCCCCUUGGGUUGGGCCUCCAAAAUGGGAGUGCGAGCUUAAUGUCCAAGUCCGGAAAGCCCUCUCCUGUGCUGCCCUCGGCGUAGGCCGGCCGGUAGAGGACGCGGCCCCGAGCAGAGCCCUGGGUUGGGCUGUGUCCAAGUCAAAGACAGCGCCCUCUCCGGCGGAGGGGAGGAAUCCACUCUCACUCCCACCGCCUUGGUUUUUUUCGUUCAGCCUUGUCGCACCGUUUUCUAAACCACUAGUGUCCGUACAUCAGACUGAGAGGCUUACGGGACUAAGCCUUUUAACCGCCAGCGCAUUCCAAGCGCCAUCCUGAGCUGGAUGCAAGGGACAGAGAUAGAUAACACGCUGCCCUAGGUCCGUUCAGGCAAGCCGACCAGAUUUCCCUCUCCACAUACUGGCUGCCCCUCAGCUUAGAAUGUACAUGCUUUAAGUGAAGCCCUACACAGGGAUGAAAACUGAAGAACUUCAGUUCUAAUAUAAAAUUCCCAGCCCAUCGAUCUUCAAUCAAAUCAAGAGAUGCUGGUAUUAUCAGAUUUCUGGUGGGCACCUGCAAGAAGGAUGCAGCUUCACAUCCAGGUAUGACCUGGGACAGGAACAAAGACAGAGAAGCCGAAGAGGAAUUACACCACUAAAAGUGUAGAGUCGUCUUUGAAUUACCCCAGACCCUGGAUGUUGGAGCCAAGUUUACCCAAUUCUCUAAGAAUACUGAAGCCCCUAGGUGGUAUCUGGGUUACAAUUUUAAUAGCAAAAGAAAAGGAAACCACAAAGAUUUCAUCAACAGCAACAGCAGCCUGAUUAAACAACCUGUGAUUAACUUAAAUCCGACUAACUACAAGUUGGAAUCCUAAUCCUUCACAGAUUAGGGUUUCUUUGCUCUGUUUCCCUAUCUGCAGUUGGCCUGGUGAAAUGGAAAGAUGAGGAGUUUCAAAACUCUUAAGUGUUCUUUAGACUCUAAGAAUUCCAGCCUAUAUUUGCUUCUUGGGGCACCAGCUGAUCCAAGAAGUCAGAUUUCCUGGGAACCUGAGUACAUUGAGCUGCUUUUGUUGUUGUUGUUGAGGAAGAUUGGCCCUGAGCUAACAUCUGUUGCCAAUCUUCCUC